CGUGUGCUUACAAGUAGUCAGAGCCCGUUAAUGGGUGAUGGCGUGCCUUUUGUAGAAUGAACCGGCGAGUUACGAUUUGAUGCAAGGUUAAGCAGUAAAUGUGGAGCCGUAGCGAAAGCGAGUCUGAAUAGGGCGUUUAGUAUUUGGUCGUAGACCCGAAACCAGGUGAUCUACCCUUGGUCAGGUUGAAGUUCAGGUAACACUGAAUGGAGGACCGAACCGACUUACGUUGAAAAGUGAGCGGAUGAACUGAGGGUAGCGGAGAAAUUCCAAUCGAACCUGGAGAUAGCUGGUUCUCUCCGAAAUAGCUUUAGGGCUAGCCUCAAGUGAUGAUUAUUGGAGGUAGAGCACUGUUUGGACGAGGGGCCCCUCUCGGGUUACCGAAUUCAGACAAACUCCGAAUGCCAAUUAAUUUAACUUGGGAGUCAGAACAUGGGUGAUAAGGUCCGUGUUCGAAAGGGAAACAGCCCAGACCACCAGCUAAGGUCCCAAAAUAUAUGUUAAGUGGAAAAGGAUGUGGCGUUGCCCAGACAACUAGGAUGUUGGCUUAGAAGCAGCCAUCAUUUAAAGAGUGCGUAAUAGCUCACUAGUCGAGUGACACUGCGCCGAAAAUGUACCGGGGCUAAACA
rnacentral:rRNA from 1 species